rnacentral:rRNA from 1 species
UACGGGGGGGGCAAGCGUUGUUCGGAAUUACUGGGCGUAAAGGGCUCGUAGGCGGCCAACUAAGUCAGACGUGAAAUCCCUCGGCUUAACCGGGGAACUGCAUCUGAUACUGGAUGGCUUGAGAUUGGGAGAGGGAUGCGGAAUUCCAGGUGUAGCGGUGAAAUGCGUAGAUAUCUGGAGGAACACCGGCGGUGUAGACGGCUUUCUGGACCGUAGCUGACGCUGAGACACGAAAGCGUGGGUAGCAAACAGG